rnacentral:snoRNA from 1 species
CUGCAGUGAUGAUAAACAAGAACUCUCUCUUGCCGAAUCAGCCUUUGAAGAAAUUUCUUUACCAGAUUCUGAGCAGC